ensembl:snoRNA SNORD16 Small nucleolar RNA SNORD16
UACAAUGGUGUUUUAAUUUGUGUCUUACUCUGUUCUCAGCCAGUUAUCUGCUGUCAGUAAGCUAGUUUAGAAGGUUGAUAAAUUAUUAUUAAAAAGGCA